GAUGAACGCUGGCGGCGUGCUUAACACAUGCAAGUCGAACGGAAGGCCCAAGCUUGCUUGGGUACUCGAGUGGCGAACGGGUGAGUAACACGUGGGUGAUCUGCCCUGCACUUCGGGAUAAGCCUGGGAAACUGGGUCUAAUACCGGAUAGGACGAUGGUUUGGAUGCCAUUGUGGAAAGUUUUUUCGGUGUGGGAUGAGCUCGCGGCCUAUCAGCUUGUUGGUGGGGUAAUGGCCUACCAAGGCGUCGACGGGUAGCCGGCCUGAGAGGGUGUACGGCCACAUUGGGACUGAGAUACGGCCCAGACUCCUACGGGAGGCAGCAGUGGGGAAUAUUGCACAAUGGGCGCAAGCCUGAUGCAGCGACGCCGCGUGGGGGAUGACGGCCUUCGGGUUGUAAACUCCUUUCGCUAGGGACGAAGCGUUUUUGUGACGGUACCUGGAGAAGAAGCACCGGCUAACUACGUG
rnacentral:rRNA from 1 species